UACAGAGGGGGCAAGCGUUAUUCGGAAUUAUUGGGCGUAAAGGGCGCGUAGGCGGCUUUGCAAGUGACGGGUGAAAUCCCUCGGCUUAACCGAGGAACUGCCUGUCAAACUGCAUGGCUUGAGACCGGGAGAGGUGAGUGGAAUUCCCAGUGUAGCGGUGAAAUGCGUAGAUAUUGGGAGGAACACCAGUGGCGAAGGCGGCUCACUGGACCGGUACUGACGCUGAUGCGCGAAAGCGUGGGGAUCAAACAGG
rnacentral:rRNA from 1 species